rnacentral:rRNA from 1 species
AGAAUCAACGCUGGCGGCGUGCCUCAGACAUGCAAGUCGAACGAUUAAACUUUCCUUCGGGAAAGAUAUAAAGUGGCGCACGGGUGAGUAACACGUAAGUAAUCUACCUUCGAGUGGGGAAUAACAUCGGGAAACCGAUGCUAAUACCGCAUAAUGCAGCGGCAUCGCAAGAUGACAGUUGUUAAAGGAGCAAUUCGCUUGAAGAGGAGCUUGCGGCAGAUUAGCUAGUUGGUAAGGUAACGGCUUACCAAGGCUACGAUCUGUAACCGGUCUAAGAGGACGGUCGGUCACACUGACACUGAAUAACGGGUCAGACUCCUACGGGAGGCAGCAGUCGGGAAUUUUGGGCAAUGGCGAAAGCCUGACCCAGCAACGCCGACGUGAAGGAUGAAGUAUUUCGGUAUGUAAACUUCGAAAAGAAUAGGGAAGAAUUCAAUAGAGGUACCAUUUAAGUAAGGUCCGGACUAACUACGUGCCAGCAGCCGCGGU